rnacentral:rRNA from 1 species
CUACGGGACGCUCCAGUGAGGAAUAUUGGGCAAUGGACGCAAGUCUGACCCAGCCAUGCCGCGUGCAGGAUGACGGCCCUAUGGGUUGUAAACUGCUUUUAUACAGGAAGAAAUCCCCUGACGUGUCAGGGGUUGACGGUACUGUAUGAAUAAGCAUCGGCUAACUCCGUGCCAGCAGCCGCGGUAAUACGGAGGAUGCAAGCGUUAUCCGGAUUUAUUGGGUUUAAAGGGUGCGUAGGCGGGGCAAUCAGUCAGCGGUGAAAUCCUGCGGCUUAACCGUAGAACUGCCAUUGAUACUGUUGUCCUUGAGUAUAGUUGAGGUGGGCGGAAUGUGUAAUGUAGCGGUGAAAUGCAUAGAUAUUACACAGAACACCAAUUGCGAAGGCAGCUCACUAAGCUAUAACUGACGCUCAGGCACGAAAGCGUGGGGAGCGAACAGGAUUAGAUACCCGUGUAGUC